rnacentral:lncRNA from 1 species
UUUCUCUUACAGCCCUGGCUGUCCUGGAACUCACUUUGUAGACCUGGCUGGCCUCGAACUCAGAAAUCCGCCUGCCUCUGCCUCCCGAGUGCUGGGAUUAAAGGUGUGCGCCACCACGCCCGGCUUUUUAGUCAUCAUUCUUGUCCAAGUAAGAUGUCAGUCCAUUUUUGCUUGCAUUCUGUCAGAAUAGCCUACUAAACAAAGUUUUUACCCACCGCUAACCUUGUGGCAGCAUACCAACAUGAGAACUGGUAUGGCCACAACAAUUCAAUGACACUUAUAAGGCAUGACUUGACAGGACUUGAUACUUGAUAAUUGGGAUGCACCCCAGUCCAGGGGCUUCCAGGAUAAAACAAAACAAAACAAAAUAACAAUGUAAAAGAAGAAAGAAAAAGAAAGAAGAAGAAGAGGAGGAGGAGGAGAUGACAUUGUCUCUGUAAGGUGCAGAGCCCUCAUAGCCCUUAGAACAAAGCUCACUUCACAAUAAUAUUGCAGAGUAUCUCUAGGAAUAAAAACACAGCCUCUCUCUGACAGUUGAUCCUAAGUGAGGGCAAGCCUCAAAUUCAGAUCUCAGAGUCCAGAUAGAAAUGCCCCAGCAGGUAUCAUCUGAACUCUGGGAUAACAUGGCUAAUGAUUGCAAGGUCCCAUGGGUGUUGUCCGUGCUUGGAUGUCUGUGUUUGGACUCCACGUUCCAUGGCUGUGGCCUGUCCUAUUCAAAAUGCUUAAUGCUUUGGACAAUGGUGAAAAAACCUCAGAGGAUUUGCAGUGAGUGAGUUGGGGUUUCAAAGGAGAGGAUGCAGGGUUCUAAUGAGUUCAUUCUAGCUUCCUUCUUAUAAAUAUUUCCUAAGGAGGAAGAAUGUGAAAGUAAACAUGACAAUCAUACAACCUUAAUUAACACAUGACGUUUACCUAGGAGUUUAAAAUGCUAAAGGAUGUUCUAAUAAAAUGUAAACAAGUUAUCUGGAUUGCAUAAAACCAAACUACAAGAAAAAUACUUAAGAAGCUGAUGGAAGACAUUCGGCCUUUCCUCCGAGCGUCCCCUGUGUGCCAAGUCAUCUCCGAGUCUGCAGUUGUGAUGUAAUACCACACACAGUCCAGAGCUUGCUGAGGACGAAAGCAAGUUUCCUAUUAUGACCUUUUGACACGAUGGUUUCAAAAGAUGCAACGGUUAUGAAUUUAGAAAAAGAAACUUACCAUUAAUGAAACAUAGUAUCUAUGGAUAUGUGUCUAUGAGAUUAAUAAAUUGUUAUUAUUCACAUAUGGGAUAAAAAUCCUCCAGCAAUAUUCCUAAUAACAGCAUAAUUCAUAAUUAAAUAUUGCUAGCCUAAACUUUACAGAGAAGUAAAGUGUCUGAUAUAGAAUAUCUUGAUCUACUUAAAGUUAUACUGCUUGGGCGUGCAUUGUAUGUCAGAUUAUGUUUUUAGAUCAUUAGUACUUAGUUGUCAUCUAUGUACAAUAAUUUCAGAAAUCACAUAUCUUGAGUUAUUAAUUCAAGACCAAGAACAUAAGAGCCUUUCAUUGUAACAAUUAUGUAUAUUAUGUCCUCUACUCGUUGUAUUGCAAAGUACUAACAAGUAGAAAAAACGAAACAUCUCUGAAUAAUUUAUCUAAUUUCCUAGUUCAAAUAAGUUGUUCUAGUAAGCACUUCAUAUAUUUUAUUAAAGUAGCAAUGUUCACAUUGCAAAAAACAUUUCUGAUUUUUGC